UGAGUAACCUGCCCCAGACUCUGGAAUAACCCCGGGAAACCGGAGCUAAUACCGGAUACGAGACGAAGCUGCAUGGCUAUCGUCUGGAAAGUUUUUCGGUCUGGGAUGGACUCGCGCCCUAUCAGCUUGUUGGUGAGGUAAUGGCUCACCAAGGCGACGACGGGUAGCCGGCCUGAGAGGGCGACCGGCCACACUGGGACUGAGACACGGCCCAGACUCCUACGGGAGGCAG
rnacentral:rRNA from 1 species